UCAAAGUCUGUUCUCUUUCCACCUGUCAAGUACACGUUACAUGGCGCCAUCAUGGACUUUUAUGUUCUUGCGCGGGAGUAGCAUUUCACAAACUGGCUUGGUCACUUAUUCUUUGUGUGGGUCUGGACCAGUCACUUAACUUCUCUUGAUAUCUGAUUUCUUAUUUGUAAAGUGGAGACAAUAAUAUCCCUUAAUGCCUACACUUAUAAUGAUUCAUGAGUAAAUAUACAUGUGAAGCACUUUUAAAGGGGCUUUGAAUGCACUAAGCAAUAUAUAAAACUUAGUUAUUACAUUAAUGCUGUUGUCAAAAUUAAACAUUCAUGGAAAGAGCUUUCCUAAGAACACUUCAGAAAGAAGAAAUACAUCUGAAUUAUAAGCUCCCAGAGGACAGGCAUAUGCUUAUAAGGUAAGAGAGAUAAAAGGACUCGAGUCCACACCAUUUAGUUGAAACGGUAGUUAAGUCGGAUCAAGGUAAAAAGAAAUCUCAGAAAUGAAACUCAGAUCUUCUAGGAACUCAGCCAAGUGGGCUGUGGGUCUAUUAAAUAUUCCAGAUAACACUUCUUGCCUUUGCUUCUGGCAGGAUUGCCAUCUAGGCUAAAUCUUUCAUUCUGAACCUAGAUAACCAGAGAAGAAAAACAGUAUGGCAGAAUGGUGAGGCGCUAUGAAACUGAAGUCUUAUGGUGAGUCAAUAGAGAAGGAAGACAAAAGGGAAAGCAUUACCACGAUAUCAUUUAUUUAUAAUGCAAGUUUUGAGAAACUUCACACAAUUUGUGUUGGGAGACAAAUACCUUACCCUGUGACUUUUCCUUCUUCCCUGCCAUUCUCAUUCCCUGGCUCUGGUUCUUUGUUUCCUUAAAAGGCAGCUGGUUUGACCAGCUUUCCUGAUGUUUUCUUUUGAAAAUAAUAAUAAAAAAAUGUAAAAGCCACUUUCCCACAGAGAUGUAAAGCUAUGUCACUUUUACACGUCUUCCUUCUUCUCUGCUGUUUACCUGGUGCGGGGCUCACAGUGUGGUGAGUGACCUCUGUGACAUUCCAGGGAGAGUCCUCGCCCUCAAGCCCUGUCCCCUACCUCUGGCAGCCUGACUGAGAAACCCUCCCAAUCUCCUCCUUCACAGCUUAGUGCCUCGUCAUCUCUUUCCUUAUGACCCAGGUUACUUACUAUCUGAAGUAUCUCACUCUUGACUCCAAAUAUAACCAUUGAAUUUUUUAUUUUUUUGCUUUUUAGAGCCACACCCAUGGCAUAUGGAAGUUCCCAGGCUAGGGGUUGAAUCAGAGCUACAGCUGCUGGCCUACACCACAGCCACAGCCACAGCCACACCAGUUCCAAGCCUAGUCUGCGACCGAUGGCAACACUGGAUCCUUAACCAGCUGAGCGAGGCCAGGGAUCGAAUGCACGUCCUCCUGAAUACUAGUUGGGUUACUUACUACUGAGCCACAACAGGAACUCCUAACCACUGAAUUUUUAAAACCCUCAGUAUACCUCUGGGUAGUCAAAAUGGGUGGCAUUUUAUAUGGUAUUAUUAAAUAUGCUCCAAGAAAUUCCUGCUGCUUAUGUUUCUAGGGACUGGCUAAUUUUUUGAGACUCAAAAAGAAAUCAGUCUCUCUCGUCUUAAUAAUUUAUAACUGCAUAAAAUAUUAGGGAAUAUUAUAUUUUAGGAUCUAUAAUCAAAGAAAUAAUAGAAUAAGAUAUUUAUUAAGUACUUUUUAUUAAAGAAUUUUAGAUGUAUAAGUAAUACCACCAGUAAAUUGGUAAUUUGUCAAAAAACAAGUAACUGUGUUCAGAUUCUCAAGAGUAGGCAAUAGAGAAACUAAGUGCUUCUCCGGAAAUAUAUAUUUCAUUUCCUUAUCUCUAAGUAUAUAGAUAAUACAGUGGGAAUAUAUUAUAUAAUUUAAACAGAGUCAUUUAAAAUAAAAACAAUAGCUUCAAGUGGUGCUUAACAUCUCAUAUAUUAGAAUGAUAAUAACUGUAAAGACAUUUAAAUUGAGAUUUUUUUUUUUCCUGGCCCAGGCCUACUAAAUCAUCAUUAUUAGUGGUGGGGCCCUAGGAAUAUGCAUUUUUAAGCAGCUAAACAUUUGCUUCUGCUAUAUCAGAACCUCACUGGAAAUAGCCAAAAUAUCUGUAUCUAGGUUAGAAAAUUCCAGGGGUUUUAUAUGAUAGAAAAGUAUGUAGACAUUAUGGUGGCAUUUAUGAAGAGUAUGUAAAUACACUGGGAAGAGCCUCACAUUGAUUAAAAUCCAGUUUAAAGGUGUAUUUGCCUAAUUGCAGAAGUUUCCAAAUAACACUAAAUUCAUACUCAACUUCACUUGCAUCAGUGCUCAAUAACUGUUAGAGAUUUUUGCUUUUAAAAAUGCUAGGACGACUAGCCUAGCUCUUACAUAAAGCCUCUUCUAAAAAUGUUGCUGGUCAAGGAGUACAGAUUAAAGCUUGAGUAGGUGGGGUUCCAACUAUGACCGUAUCAGCUUAUCAGGAGCCUCAAAUGUUUGCUAUAGCCAAGAGGUCAAGUCCUAGGACUAGGGCCGUGCCAGCAAUGGGAAAUGAGGGGCUUAUUUCCUUAGCCUAGUCUGUCCCCGCGAGGUCUAGGCUCUCUCAUUGACUAGCAAGUGUUUAUCUUCACAAUUCCUCUCACAUUGUGUUGCUGCACAGAGAGUGCAUGGGGAGCUGGGGGAAGGGAACAGAUAGGACUGUUGAGAUCAUCUCAUGAGUGGUCAAUUCCAGCAGUGCUAAAACCUAAAUACCUUCAUCCCAAGACUAGCCAAUAAGCAAAAUGUAAUCCACAUAUGUCAGUUCAAAUGUUCUGGUAGCCACAUUUCUAAAAAUGGAAAAAUAAAUAGGUAAAAUUUUAUAAUAUAUUUCAUUUCACUAUAUAAACUAUCAUUUCAAAGUGCAACACAGAAACAUUGAGACAUUUCAUAUUUUUUCACAAUAAGUCCUCAAAAAAAAGUGUAUAUUUUACACUUGCAGCACAGCUGAGUUUGAAGCAGCCACCUUUCAAGUACCUAGUAGCCACAUAUAGCCAAUAGCUACUCUACUGGACAGUGAAGUUCCAAAAGAUUAAAAUGUUUUAAACAAUUAUUUUAGAAACACUGAAUAAACACUGGUGUCAAAAGUAACUUUGGGGUAUUGGGAAAUGUAUGACAUAUUCAUAACUGAUAUAGAAAAUACUUUGCCAAAUAAAUGAAAUUACUAGUGGUGGUUCCCAAUUGUGCUUCCAUUUUAUUUGUGCGAAUUGGUCCAAAAUAUGUGCUAACAGGAGAAGGAAGGAAAGAUGCAAGGAAGGGAGGCAAAUAAUCCACAGCUGUUUUUAAAUGCCGAAAGGGAAAUUCUCCCUUCAGGUGACAGCUACAUAAAUCAAGAAAGCCCUAUCAGGCUCAGUAGCUCUUUUUGAAAAUCUUUGGUUCCUUUACAUAUUCAAAACCAUCAGAAUCCCCUGGGAAUUGGUUGAAAAAAAUCACAGAGGAGUCUGAACAGAGCAGGAAGCAUGCUGUUUCUCAGAGAGGGUGCUGAGAUACUAAGCAAGAGCCAUUUCUAUAGAUCAGAUUGCUAGAGAGCUAAUCAGACUUUCCACAGGCAGUGGCAGCGGGCAAUUUAUUGUGAUGCUUCUCAGCUCAUGGGAACCAGCAGGGUGUGACAAGAAUGGUUUGCCUCAGACACACACAUCAUAGUUUCCUUUAGGAUUUUUUAAAAUAAUAAUAAUGUUGAUUUCCACAGAAAGGAGCAAACUCAAAUAUUUUGGAACACUGACCUGGGCACACAGGAUCCCCAGUUAGGGGUUCUCCAGUGGGCUAGUUUUAAGAAAACACGGAGUCAGUUCAGAUCUUCUCCUGGUUGGUGUCCAAACAAAGGUGUAGAGGAAAAAUACCUUUUAUUUUAUUUUUUUUAAAUUGUGGGGCUGAAAGGGGUGGAAACACAAUGAGUAAAUACAGUAUUUAGCCACUCCAGGAGGGCUUUAGCUGCUCUUCAUCUUUGUUUUACAUCCUAGAGAGAAGUGAUCUCAAAGAAAUCAGAUUUCCAAACCAUUACCUGUCUUACAAAUUAAAGCCAUCACAUUAAUGGGGCUAAUUAGAAGUCCAUUACAGCCUAGAGAAUACAGGUUAUCUCAUUUGGGUCUAAUGCUUUUUAUAAAAGGUUAUCAGCAGAACCCCCAACAGAAAAGGUACCACAAAACUUUCUCUUUCAUUUGAAAAUGUUCUGGCAGUAAAGAAAUUCAUCUCUUCCAGGAAGGUGUCCUAGAUCAUUCCCGUCCCAUUCAAAUUGCCCUUUCCAGUCUAUGAUUAUUCAAUGCUAAUUCGGUUUAGAAUGAAUAAUUUUGUGAUGGUCACUGCUGUGCUUUGAUACUAACCCAAACCAUAUAAAACAACAAUAAAAUCAACAUCAUAAAAAUGUAAUAGACUGUAUACUUUCCUUCAAUACAUGUGGGAAGUAAAUAUGUUUUUCUAUUUAUGAAUAACUUUAGGACAUAUUAUAUACCAGGCACAAUGCUAGGCACCAGAAAUCAGCACAGAACACAAUGGUAUGACAUCUGGCCUCCAGGGGAUUUCUGUCUAGUUGGAGGGAUAUGCAUUAAACACAAUGCCAUGAAAAUAUUUAUUGAAACUGUGAAAGAACUCUACAAAUAAAAUUUAUAUCUAGAUACUCAUGUUGCAACAGAAGAAAGGGUGGGGGAAAAACUGUAAUUGUAAUCUAUACAUGUAAGGAUAACCUGACCCCCUUUCUGUACAGUGGGAAAAUAAAAAAAAAAAUUAUAUGAAAGCUUGUAAAUGUUCUAG
rnacentral:lncRNA from 1 species